GCUCAUUCAGUCUUUCACUACCAAAGACACGGCGUGGUAAAACUUCACAAAUCCACCGGGAAGAAUUAUGGCUAUCAUUAUAAAACUAAGUUGUCUUUGGCAGCCGCACAGCGAACACCAUGCAUCCGCAAUAAAAUGACUCGAUCCCUUUGUAACAGGGGUUCAGAUGGCACCACCAGGCUGACUAGCUGUUCUGGCCUGUAGAGGCGGCUGUACGAAGUCCGUGAUGUGAAGCUGCCAUCACGUCGUCAGGAGUUUGACGUCAGUCUGAGACCAUGUGACCUGCAUUGGACCGCCCUCCACCCCAUCCCUCAGACUCAAUGCUGCAGUCUGGUUGGUCAAUCUGAGACCAUGUGACCUGCAUUGAUCCAUCAGCCCUCUGGUUCCAUAGAUGGGAGGGGCUUCCCACCACAAUGGCUGCCCAUCCUGUAGUUUCUCUGGAGUGUUGGGUUUCAGAACCAGAAGGGUGCUGACCGACUUCCAUCAUGUUGAAGGGGUGGUUACUACCUACAGCUGGUGUUAUCCAAUACAUGUGCUAUGUAUCAAGCUAAGCAUUGUAUGUGGGCCAAAUCAUGAGCUAAAUCUUGUAGUGAAUCUGGAGAUUGGCCAAGUUCAAGAGACUGAACUGAAAUGGUACAUUUUAUGAUUUUAGCUGGGGGGGGGGGUCUCUGUAACACUGCUCUGGUUUCUUCAUAGUCAAUUCGUUCAGGCCCUAGUUUUAGCACACCUGGGCUGCAGUCCAAACACUUAAGAUGCACCCUACCCCCUUCAGCCCCCAUUAAGUGGACACUUCUGAUACCCUAUAAUGCUGCCUGAUCAGUGUACACUUGCAGGGCAAGGAAGGAUUUUUAAAAUGGCUGCCCUUACCUGGAAAUCUAUCGCUCCUCCUGCGAUUUGUCUUUUAGCCACCGGUAGCUUGUGGGUGUUUUUAUGUGCUACAGUCAAUUAUGAUAGCAUAUCUGAAUAUCUUAAAUGUGAAAUGUAUACGCCUACUGUAUCUGCUAGAAAAUUAAUGAGUUGCCUACCGUUAGCCUGUCUAGCUGGAACAUCUGAAGAUAAAUGUAGUAAUACAAUUUCUAAAAGCUAACCAAAUAUUACUUUAUGAGAUGUUUAUGCUGUCAUGUGCAUUAGUAGUACAAUUUAGAACUUAUGUUUAUUUUUUACGUUACUUGUAAAUUGACCACUAAAACGAGGGCUGAGGGGCUUAUGUUGCGAGCUUCCCUUGCUUGGCUAAUAAUUUGCACCGCCUGCCAAGAUGGUGCCGUUAUUCCCCCAAGGGCAUACCGUGUUUUUGGUUUGGACUGUGGCCCUGUACUAAUGUCCCGUUAUAUAGUGAAGUGCCACGAAGGACACAGGCAAAUUAGUUGGCCCAGAACGGCAGCGCAACUGGCAUUUAAUGGGUACUUCAGGAUUUUGGCACACAAUAAUAGUAGUGUUUUUAUUUAUGUAGGCUGUAGUUUUAUUACUUAAUUACUAUUUUGUUUACCAUUUCUGUUAUCCUCACCCUGCCUCUAUCUGGACCCUACAGUCUGCAGCAGUAUCGUAUAUCUUGGGUCUUUUGUUCUGCUAAGGUAGUCAAUAAAGUUUUUACAAUGUG